rnacentral:rRNA from 1 species
AAAAACAUGGCCUUUUGAUUAUAAUUUUAGGUUUCGCCUGCCCAAUGAUUUUUAUUCAAUGGCCGCAGUAUCCUGACUGUGCAAAGGUAGCAAAAUCAAUAGUUUUUUAAUUGAAAGCUGGAAUGAAAGGUUGGAUGAGAAAAUAACUGUCUCUGUAAAAAUUUAUUAUAAUUUUAUUUUUAAGUUAAAAAGCUUAAAUAAAAAUAGAAGACGAGAAGACCCUGUAGAGUUUUAUAUUUAAAUAUAUCUGAAAUUUUAGUAUUAAUUUUUUUUUUUAUAUUAUAUAUUUGGUUGGGGUGAUUGGAAAACUAAAUAAACUUUUCUUUAUUAAUACAUUUAUUUAUGAUAAUAUGAUCCUUUGAUUAAGAUUAUAAGAUAAAAUUACCUUAGGGAUAACAGCGUAAUUUUUUUUGAGAGUCCUUAUCGAAAGAAGAGAUUGCGACCUCGAUGUUGGAUUAAAGUUGGUUUAUGGUGUAGAAGCUAUAAUAUUAGGUCUGUUCGACCUUUAAAACUUUACUUGAUCUGAGUU